UUGUCAAUAGUCCCUGGUCAAGUAUAAUUUUCUUUAAAAUGUCCUUUCUUUCUCUCCAUAAAUGUGGCAUCUUUGGCUAGGUAAUAUUUUGCAAGCAAGGAAAAAAAAUCAACUAUUUCAGUAGGGACACACAUUAAUUUAGUUGCUGCUAUUGCGUGUUUCCAUAUCAGCAAAGUACAACCUGCAUUAUUUUUCUGGUGUUGUAAUUUUUUCUAAUAUUCUUUCCAAUUCAAUAGCAUUUUCCAAGGUGAAAAUCUCAGCUGUUUUCUGCUACAGUCUCCCACCUAGGAAGAACAUUUAAAAUCAGUUGUAUCAGCAGUUUGUUCUUGCUGGCAUCGAGAUUAUAUUUUCUUCCCCCUCCUGUGUAUCCUAAUGCCACAGCUCUGCUUAUGAACCAGCCAAGCAAAAUUAAAGCUUCCAGGCUUUCUAGCAACAGGAGUCUCCCAGGAAAAGAGGUUGUGUACCCAAACAGUUGUGUGUUACCGGCGGAAAUCUUCCUGUCUGAUUAUGGAGAUCUCUGCAUAAAUUUGGUUCUGGCAGGAUUUCGCGCUGAAUCUGACACAGAGUGAGAAAGUUAUGUGGGGAAAAAAAGGAGAAAUUGGCUUCCGAGAACAGGAUUCGCACCAGUCUGUUAGCACAGCACAACAUUCCAUAUGGCCACACACUCCUCCUCACUGUUUACAAAAGGUUUGCCACAAAUGAGUUGAUGUGUUCAUCCAUUUCCUCUGAAAUCCUGAGAAGAAGAGAAGCCCUCACUCGGGAUGCCUUAUGUGAAGAAGCAUAAAAAUACUAAACACAUGUAAACUUGUGAGCUGAAAUUCUCUGGCUGCAGUUAGGCAUGAGAAUUAGGCAAGGCUUCAGGAACUACAAACCAAAGCCAAGUGAUGAUUGAUCUCUGUUGCCUCUUUCCUGCUUUUAUCUCAUACUCUACCGAUGUUCAGCUGUGUCAAAGCAUCUUCAUAACUUCUUCAAGGCCAAGGAUGCUGAAAGGUGAUGGAAGAAAAUACCUGUUCAGCCACAGAGUGUGCCCAUGAAUUCUGGC